UUCUUCUUCUAUUCGUUUUACCUGUCAAAAUAAAAAGAAAAUAACCAUAUUGGCUCAGUCAACGAAAUAACUUAACAUAACAAUGGUACAGAACACUUUUGUCAGAGGUACACUUCGAUAGAAGGCUUACAAAGAGCAACAAGAUGGUUUAGUUAUCAAGAAACACGAAAGCUGAAAUCUCUGUUUCUUAUUUAACUUAAAAACAGUAUUCUGUGAAGACAAUAUCAAAUCGCCAUAAAUAUGAAAAAGUAACCGAGUAACAGGAGCAUACCUUCUCAG